GGGGGUGUCAUGGUAUCGACUUGGGAAUAAAGUAACAGUGGCAUGCGGAGGACGUCGGUUGGCCUCCUUAAUCAUCCGAUAAAACAAUAAUUGCAGAAGACGAAUAUCUUCUAGCUGCUUAAGACUUAACCGUCUUAAGCUGCCGAUAACCCAGGGUCUGAUCGGGAGCCUUGGAUGUUAUCGUCAUACAUCCUGGUAUGGAUUCUACUAGUUUAAGACUCUUUGGGGUAGAAUUCGAGAUUAAAAGGGACAGAUGAGCUCUUUGUGUGGCGUCUUCCAUCCGGGCUCAUUCACCUUGAAGGCGAUAAGCAUGUAGUCAUUAUUAUAGAGUUCGCUAAGGACGAGAGUUCGAUUCUCUCCACCUCCAUUC
rnacentral:tmRNA from 1 species